CAAAGAAUAGUUUAAUAAAAAUUAUAAUUUUGGAGAUUAUAGAUAAAGAAAAUCUUUUUCUUUGA
rnacentral:tRNA from 1 species